AGUUAAUAAUCAUUUCCAGAUUCAGGAAGAGCCAUCAUUUCAGCCCAGAUUUUUGCCCGUUAAAUGGAACGGCAUGAGAUUUGACAGGGUCACUAGGCUUUUGGAAGGAGACAUGAAAUGUUUUUUAGUUAACUUUGGGUGUGGGUGAAAUAAGAUAAAGAAUGAAAUGUGUUUUAAUCAGUUGCCUUCCCAGCCUGGAAAAUCUAUAAAAGCAUGGGUCCAGAAAUGUUAAUGAAAGGGAUGACCCCUGGAACAGUAGGGAACCCAGAAGGUCUACAGAUCAUCUUUCCUGCUGCAAAUGGCUUUCUGACUGACCGAACUGCUCUCCCUGCUUUUCUCAAAUCUUCUGCAACAAUUAUAACAUCUUGUAAUGCGAAUUAUUUUUAUACCGAAUGAAUUAGCAUUUCAGGGAAGAUUGAUGCCUUCUACUUUCGCCGGUCCCAGAGAAAAGAUGGGUGUCUGUCUCGCUUGUACCACAGUGGGUUAUAAUUAUAAUUAUAAAGGAGGGAAGAGCUAAUUUCCUGUAUUCUAGAAAUGGUUUUGAUGUGACACUCUUCUGUUAUUUGUCUGAGUAAGAGACCAAGACACAAGAGCAGCACCUGCUCUGCAUUGCUGAUAUCUUCCAUGUUAGCAGUGCGUUCGUCAGGGGAAGGGUUUUAGCUCAGUCUUAGAGCAUCUGCCUUGUAUGCGCAAGGUCCCAGGUUUGAAUCCAGGUAAGGCUGGGAGAGACUACCUGCCUGCAACCUUGGAGAGCUGCUGCCAGUCAGUGUAAACAGUUCUGAGCUAGAUAGACAAAGAAGAAGAAGAGGAGUUUGGAUUUGCUAUCCCGCUUUAUCACUACCCUAAGGAGUCUCAAAGCGGCUAACAAUCUCCUUUCCCUUCCUCCCCCACAACAAACACUCUGUGAGGUGAGUGAGGCUGAGAGACUUCAGAGAAGUGUGUGACUAGCCCAAGGUCACCCAGCAGCUGCAUGUGGAGGAGCGGGGAAUCGAACCCGGUUCACCAGAUUAUGAGUCCACCGCUCUUAACCACUACACCACACUGGCUCAAUAUAAGGUGGCUUCCUCUGUUUCCUACCUCUUUCUUUUCUUCUAAGGCACAAUGUCAAGGCUGCUUUUCUCCAUGUAUCACUUCCAUCCUGCGCAGCAGUAGGGCCCAAAUGGUGCUUUUCUUCUCAAAAGACUGGUAACUGCAUGACAGGCACAGCCAUACAUCACAGCUUCCCUCUAGAAUAUCAAAACAGCCAGUAUCUAUAAUAUAUCCGACAAUGACACAUCAUUGUGUUAUGGCCAGAGGUUGGUUCGUUUCGACACAUGGAGUGGAAGGAAUUAUCUGCCGCCUUUCCAAUAUGGUAGAACUUGCUAUUUGAUGGGGGCAAUGAGCACUUCAUUAACGAGCAGCUGGAUUCCGAAGGGAGUACAAAGAAUCCCAAAUAUGGUGGUUACAGGGAGGCGCGGCUUCAUGUGCCUGGCCUCCUGGCAGCGGUGUCACUACUAAUUACCGAGGGAGAGGGACACAGUGGCAGGGAAGCUGGCGCUGUACAGAUGCACCAGCAGAGCCAAUCCAACACUCCAGUUGGUACACUGCGCUGGUCUACUGAUGCCUUAGUAUAAUGCUAAGGAGCCAAACAGGGAACUUUUAAUGCAGUAAGGGUUACCCAGCACUGGCCUCCCCACUGAAGUGCCCCUCUCCCAAUCAGCGGAAGCAUGGCAGCAGCCCUCCUUGCUGGCAGCUCCUGUGCCCUCACCGUACAUGGGGUUUAUACCUUACAUAGUGACUGAGAACAGUAAUCCUGAGCUGGCUUGAAAGUGGAUACACUUUCCGGUUUUGUCUUUCCUUUUCCUAAUAUUUAUUUAGGGGCUAGCGCUGUUUGCAAUGUUGCGCCUUUACUCUUGUCAUCAAGUAGAUUGUUGUUAAGGUUCUCUGAGGGCUAGUUCAACAGGUACCCAGCAUGUACUUCAAAAUCGCAGUGGGCCCUGGGUACGUGUUUCUCCUUUCGCCACUGUACAGACAGCCUUUCACGUGAACUGGAGCCUAAGUAGAGCACCAAUGCUUAUGCAAGCAGGGACAGUCUGAGUGAUUAUUUUGCCACAGACAGAUUGCAUAGGCAGCCAGACACAGUUGCGAGGUCUCAGUUUAUGUCCAUGACCAGCACCUAAUGAGGGAGCUGUAGCAGGAACUGAGCCAAAAUGUUCUGGAGAUGAACAAGUGAGCUGAAUGCUAAAAGAACUCAGCAAGGGCCCAGAGGAGACCGAGAGGCUAAUAUCCUCACUGGCAACUCUUCAUCUUCCUAGCCAUCUGCUGAACCAUUGUUCUGCUAUCUUCCAUUGAGUAGGCCCUUGUGCCCAAGGAGAUGCUCAGCAAUAGAGCCGUCUAGCCCUCCUAUGCCAACUCUAAGCUCCUAACCAGGCAGAGGAGACUGGUUCACCAGGGCAAGCGGGCAUUGCUCCACCAGAUGCUCUACAGACAGCCACCUGCCUGCCUUCUUUCUCACAAGCAGUCCAGGUGGUAGCACACCCUUUUACCUUCCUCCUCCUUAGUCUCAGUGUUGACCCUUGUAGAAGGGAGGAAGAUGGAGACAAAACUAGAAUUAGUUGCCCCUGCAUAGCAUUGGUUCUGGAUCCACCUACUGUUGGUCUCCCUGCCUUCUGCCCUUCCAGGGCCAAUGGUCACCAGCCAUCACUGGUAUGCUGUUGCCAUUACUCUGGAUGCUCCAUUAGAAGAUAAGGAGAGCCUGCUGGGUCAGGCCAAUGUCCCAUCUAGUCCAGCAUCCUGUUCUCACAGUGGCCAACCAGAUGCCUGUGGGAAACCCACAAGCAGGACCAGAGCCCAAGAGCACUCUGCCCUCCUGUGGUUUCCAGGAACUGGCAUUCAGAAGAACCCUGCCUCUGAGAAUCAGGGAACAAGGCAGGACUCAGACUGUGAUUGGAUGGGUUAUUGGAAAGCCUCAGCUAAGGCACCCAUGAGCUGAGACACAGGCUGCCUUGGGACUCAAGUGGUUUUUUCCUUGGGGCUCUCUGCAGAGUUCCAUGCCUCUCUCUCAGAGGAGGUCUUCCCAGAGUCUGGGUUGCACAGGUUCCUGGCAAUCUAACUUAAAUUUCUUCAUAUAGUGUGGGGAGGACAUGGAAGCCCAGGACUCAUUUCCAUGUCAUGCCACAUAUACUGCCUUCAUACUGGGGCUCUGUCUGAAGCUACCCCAAGUUCCCACUCUGCUCUGAAGAAUAGUCUAAAGGCUGCUCUGGACUUGAAACCAAGUGCUGUGGGAGAUGGACUGCAGCUCAGUGUUAGAGGACAUGCUUUGCAUAGAGUCUGUCUCGGGUUAAAUCCUUGGCAUUUCCUGCUAAAAGCAUCAGGUAGCAGGUGACGGGAAGGACCUCUGCCUGGGACCUGGUGAGAACCACUGCCAGCCAAGCCAUUAGACGACACUGAACUACGCAGCUCUCUACCAAAGUGGCAGGAUCACAACUUCUGUUUUUAAAUACAAGAGUAGGCAAGCAUUAAAAAAUGAGUGAUCUGGGUGAAAGAGUUGAUUGAAAGUGAAAGAGUUGCUGGGUCCACCUACUUGGCAUGUAGACAAGAAGAAUUUGACCCCUUGCAUCUGUCAUGUUAAACAUUCAUCUGUGGUUGUGUCUGUUGCAGUGCCAACAAAAUUACUCUGACAUCAACGCCAUUUCACACCCUCCGGAGUCAUAUGGGUUCAUCCUAAAUCAGUUUAUUUGUUAGCGUUUUGCUGCCACCGUUUUUUCCGAAAGAUAAAGCCGUAGUUAUAAAACAUAAAAUCAUAGUUACAUAUAAUAUGCCAUAAAACUUCUGCAAGGCAAUUAAGAACCUUUCUGGGCAAUUAAAAUGUAGAUUUCCCCCCUUAGCUCAGCACUUGUACUUGCCCCAUUCCAGUGGUUACAGCACGAUGUCCUGUCUCUAUGGGAUUGCCAUGGGAUCGUAAUGUUUUUGCUGUUGGGGGGGGGGUAGUCACACUGGUGUUCCAUUUGUAAUUCUAUAACUAGGGGAGGUGUGCGUUGCAGUUCUGUAGAGGAAAGUGCAUUAAAUUUAAAGAAUUGCAUUUUCUUACUGAUCAAAUAGAAUUUAUAAAAAUCAUCAAGUUAAGUAUCAAUAGUGUUUUGGUCACACAGAAUGUCCAUCCAUUUGUUUAGGCAGUGUGGGAUUUAUUGAACGUGGAAACCCAGCUCAGUGGAAUAACCAUGGUUUGUUCCCUGGUAACAAACCACAAUGUAAAGCCAUUGUACGUUGCUGGCUUAUGAACCAUGGCCUGUUUUAGCUAUGUUUUUGGUGUGAUGUCUGAACCCAGUGGCCUUGCUUAACCAUUGUGUUGUUGUUUUUGUCCACCCCAUCCCAGUUGCUCCCCAAACCACAAAGGCAUAAGGCAAGAGCAUCUGGAAAACAUGCUUCAAAGGAGCAAGCCAUGGAUUAUUUAUUCAUGUGUGACAUGACUUGUGGUUUGUUGAACAAACCAUGGUUAAAACAAACCAUGGCCGGUCUACUUCUUAAACAAAAGACUGUCACAAGAAAAGAGUAUUCCUGGUCUGUAUAUAAGAACAUAAGAAUAGCCUGCUGGAUAAGGCCAGUGGCCCAUGUAGUCAAGCAUCCUGCUCUCACAGUGGCCAACAAGAUGCCUGUAGGAAACCAGAAAACAGGAUCUGGGCACUCUCCUCCUGUGUUUUCCAGCAGCUGGCAUUCAGAAGCACUGCUGCCUCCAACUGUGGAGGCAGAGCAAAGCCAUCAUGGCUACUAGCCAUUGACAUUGACCCAAGUUAGUGGCCAUCACUGUAAAAUGUAAACAAUGGCAUUUAAAAAAACAGCUAUACUUAAAUAUAAUUUUAUAAAAUGACAUAGGGAGGUAGAGUUGUAUCAGUUAGUUCCAUUGACUGUCCAAUAAGUGCUCAUAGCACUUGCACAACCCUGUCCCACAGAGCAUUUAGUCACCCAAUGGACACAACGCCAUACAAUAUGGCUACUCAUGUGCUGCUGGGGGGAGGGAGGGGCAGACACACACACAUGUAAUUUCUCUGAAGCUGGAUUGAUAUCUCGAGGGAAAUUACCUGGAUUUCAUGGAACAACAAAACAACAAUUGCACAAUUAUGUAUUGCAUAAAGGCAAUCCAAUUAUAAGGAGAAUAUUCAGGGCACUUGGUAUUAUUAGAUAGGCCUGCUACUAUGAAACAUCAGAGAAGGGUAUAGGCUUCCUGACUUGCAUCUAAUAUUAAUGUUAUUAAUAAGGAAGAGGACUAUAACAUGCAUUUCUCUGCCAAAUCCUAGUGUACCAAUUAAUAUUUCAAGGUCAAGAAUAACAGUGCAUUAGAAUAUGCCAGUAUUUAGUUUUGCAUGUCAAGAGUAGUGCACGUGGGACACAAUCCACUGCCAUGUGAAAUACAUUGGAGAUGUACACAAGCACUCCUAUAAUUUCAGUGGGCAAAGCCAUUUUAAAAAAAUAAAAUACCAGCAAUGCCCUGAAGAAUGAUGCUGUCAUUACAUAAGGCGUAUUCCUGUUUUCUUCAUGUUCUCAUAUUUAUUGUGGUUCAAGUGUUGUUGUUGUUUUAAAAAGUCUGGGACAUAAUGAGCAAACUAAGUUACGCUUCCUUUUGUAAGCUGAGUGUCAGAUGCAUGUAAAGGGGGUGGAUUUCGUUUCUUCAUUGUACUUUAAUUUUGCCAUCGCCUUUUCAGUGUAACAAAAGUUUCUGGAUUAAUAUGAAGACGCCACGGAAUAUAUGGAGUGGGUUUGCCAUUCUUAGGGAACGGUAGGGAGGCACUUCAAGGAAGAUGUGUCUGUAUUAAAAGAGGGUGAGCGAGAGCCACUGUAAAGCUGACCGAAACUGCCCUUGAAGGCGGCCUCUCUUGGGAUCAUAUUCUGUUUCUGUAGCUGAGGUAUUCGAUCUCCCGUUCCGUUAUUUAAGUAUCAGUUUGUCUCUCCUCCCAUUCUGUGUAGCAGGUGUUGGGCAGUUUGUUUCCAACACUAUUUCCAUGCAUAGCAAUUGGCUCGCAGGUCGCAGUGCAUCAUGGGCUUUGUAGCCUUAAAGGAUGGCUGCCUAGGCUGCUGUCCUCAUGCACGUUUAUGAGAAUGGCAAAGAGCUAAUUUGAGACAAAGGGCGCUUUGCUUCGGGGCACAAUCCUGGGAAAUAAAGAAGCAAAGAAGACAUCGACAAAGAAUAAAUAGAAAGCAACCGAUCAUGUGCAAAGUGCCAUCUAAUCAGAGUCAGCUGUUCUUUAUAACCAGAGUAGGACAUGUGCAAUAUGGGGAUAUAGUUUCCAAGCAAUUUCUAGUCUGGCUGGUGUUCUGCCAUCUUCCUCCACCCACCCACCCUGAGCACGUGUAAUGAAAUCCAAGAUACUAUUGGUAAUCUGUGAUAGUUUCAUUCUGGAACUGUUAAUCCCAGAUAGUAAACAGCAUGAGUCAGCCUUCAAAAAUAAUGAUAGUUUUAAAAAUCAUGCAAUUUUUCUUUUGUUUCUUUUUAAAUGCGCCUUCUAUUUACUUCAGUAGUUCUUGCUUCUUGAAAUACCAAUGGACCAUUGAGACGGGUGUGGUGGUUACGUAGAAUGCCAGUCACUAGAUUCCUGGAGGUAGGAAUCCCCACUUCCUGGAGGUUCAAGCCCCACUUCUCAGUCAGUAUCUUCCUUCUUGACAAGUCAGUUAUCUCCCAGGUCCAUCCAGUCAUACAUCUGUGAAAUGAGAACAAUAGUGAACUAAACUAUGGUGACUUACUGAGGACUAUUCUACCAUGAGGAUUCCAGAAUCUGUGCUGACCAAAGAAGGAUAGGUCUAGAAUAGAUCAGUGUUUCCCAAACUUGGGUCUCCAGCUGUUUUUGGACUACAGUUCCCAUCAUCCCUGACCACUGGUCCUGCUAGCUAGGGAGUCCAAAAACAGCUAGAGACCUAAGUUUGGGAAACAAUGGUCUAGACACAAGCUAAAUAGCCAGUUGUGAUCACAGGGGAUAUUUGGCCAGGGCAGUUGUUUAUACCGGGAGUAAUCAAUCUGAAAUAACCACCAUUUCCUGGAUAUCAACUCAGUAGUCACUACUUCCUGCCUAAAGAUGAACUGAACAAAUAAGAGAAUAAUUCUUUGGCUUGUGAUAUCUUUAUUUAAAAAAUGUGAGUCUUAUGAUUAUCCAGUUUGAGCACGCAGCAAGCAAAGCAAAGUAGAGAUGCUUGAGGAAUUAUUUUUGUGCAAAUUCCAAUACGAACUGACAUGAUCAGCUCCUCUUGGACUAAUGUGUGAAUCAGAACGCAGUUACUCUUCGGAUUUUGCACUUCUCCAAAUUUUGUGAUGCUGUUCUCUCGGCUCAAAAAAAAUGCAUUCCAGAGUGCACAAUUUAGGACAAAAUAUAUAGACAAUAUACAUUUUGUGCUGCUUGUUUUCAAAACACGCGUGAGGAAUCUGUGGCCCUUCAGAUGUCGUUGGACUCCCAACUCCCACCAUCCCUGGCUACUGGCCAUGUUGGUUGGGCAACAUCUGGAGUGACCCCAUCCCUGUCUAUAAACAAUUGCAGAUUAAUGUGAAAGCAAAGUGGGUGGGUGGGUGAAUGCCUGGAAGUGACAUUGACUGGAAAUGGGAUGAUUUGUCUGUCCCUAGAAGUUCAAAGCCGACUGAAGGCGAAUCACGUAUUUCUUUGACUUCAGAAUAAAUUCCCCAGAACGGCUUUUGCUGCUGAGUAAGCAGUCUGGAGUUUGUUUUCCCACUGCACAUUGUACUUUAUGGACUAAAAAAAGACAUGUGAGAAAUAGCAAUGACCGGUUUUUCCAUUCCAUAAAACUUGCUCCACGUCGGCUGAUUACUCUGGGGAUUUCAAGGCAGACUUAGAUGAAAAAUUUGGCUUCAUGUGUUUGCAUGUUUUAAAGUGUUGCUCUGUUUUGCAUUCCAUUAGAAUGUUGGAAGCUUCAAAUAUUUGCUUCCUCUGACUUCGUUCUGUGCAUCCUCCGCUGCUUUUUAAAAAAUGUUGCUGUAUCCUAGUAAUAAUGGCACUCUGAAGAUCUCAAAUGACUUCAGAAAAUCAUUAUUAUGUACAUAUUUUGACAAGAGGCCAUUGGAAACAGUUUGACACGUGCAACUGGAGAGGUCCCCUCCAUAUUAUAUUGCACCACCGUCUACAAGGACUAUUCAGUUUGCUGUGCAGUCUCUCUGUUAAGCUUGCUAUCAGGUGAAAUCCAAAACCAUCCUCUAGGAAACAGCGAAGGAAGAAAACUGACACCUCCUAUUAGUGGGAAGCUUGUACUGCUUCAUUUACCAAAUAUAUUGGGUGUCACCCAAAAAUAUUUGCAUAAUCAGGAGUUGAGAUGAACCAGAGUGCUAGGCGCAUAGUGUUGCACUGAGCCAGGGUCACAGAAAAGACGCAUGGAAUUAAGGUAAGUGCUGCUGCCAUCUGAGGGUGUGGGACUGACAUUCUAGAGUGGAAAGGAAUUUGGUAGGAGGCAUCAUAUUUUGGGAACUGGCUAUAAGUGAUGUGAAGCAGUGCCAAGUAGAGCCAGUGUGGUUGUAGUGGUUAGAAUAUUGGACAAGGAAUGGGGAGGCAGAUGUCCAAAUCGCCAUUGAGCCAUGAAGCUCAUAGGAUGAUUUCAGACAAGUUGUUAUCUCUCAGCCAAACCUACCUUAGAAGAUUAUACUGGGAAUAAGGCAGGGGAAUGGAGGAAGGGGAGAGAAUCUUAUUUACAGCAUCUUGAGCUCCUUGGACAAAAGGUGGAACCAAAAAUAUUAAAUAAAGUAGGCCAGGGCUUAGUGCAAUUAUUUGAUUGGCUGAUUGACUAGAGUGGAAGCAGAAUGCAUGUACAGAGCUAUGUUGGCCACCCCAGGACAUUUACUUGCCCCCCAGCCCUGGCCAGUUGGAAGCCUCUGAGAGAUGAA
rnacentral:lncRNA from 1 species